AAUAAUGUUCUCUUUUUAGGUGCUUCAUUCAGAAGAUAAUAGGGAAUCAGGUGAAAUUCCUGAACGGGUCCGCCACUGUUAACUAGUAUGGUGAUUUAAUACCACUCAGAAAUGGGUUUGGGGAAGGUAAAUCACUAAAGCUAUAAAGUCAGGAGACCUGCCUAAAGGGAAAACAGCCA
rnacentral:ncRNA from 1 species